rnacentral:rRNA from 1 species
UACGAAGGGGGCUAGCGUUGCUCGGAAUUACUGGGCGUAAAGCGCACGUAGGCGGCUUUCUAAGUCGGGGGUGAAAUCCUGGAGCUCAACUCCAGAACUGCCUUCGAUACUGGAGAGCUCGAGUCCGGGAGAGGUGAGUGGAACUGCGAGUGUAGAGGUGAAAUUCGUAGAUAUUCGCAAGAACACCAGUGGCGAAGGCGGCUCACUGGCC